rnacentral:rRNA from 1 species
UACGUAGGGGGCAAGCGUUGUCCGGAAUCAUUGGGCGUAAAGAGCGUGUAGGCGGCCCGAUAAGUCCGCUGUGAAAGUCCAGGGCUCAACCCUGGGAUGCCGGUCGAUACUGCCGGACUAGAGUUCGGAAGAGGCGAGUGGAAUUCCCGGUGUAGCGGUGAAAUGCGCAGAUAUCAGGAGGAACACCAAUGGCGAAGGCAGCUCGCUGGGACGUGACUGACGCUGAGACGCGAAAGCGUGGGGAGCAAACAGG